ACUCCCCAGAUUCCUUCCCUCUCAGAUCUAAAUAUUAGUCUGCAUGGCUGAAAAAGGAGGAAAUGUCAAACUGAAGUGGACUUGGAAUCUUCAGAGACAUUCAAGUUCAUGUCAAAUCUAU
rnacentral:snoRNA from 1 species